GACGGAGGAUGCAAGUGUUAUCCGGAAUCACUGGGCGUAAAGCGUCUGUAGGUGGUUUAAUAAGUCAACUGUUAAAUCUUGAGACUCAACCUCAAAAAUCGCAGUCGAAACUAUUUAGGCUAGAGUAUAGUAGGGGGUAAAGGGAAUUUCCAGUGGAGCGGUGAAAUGCGUAGAGAUUGGAAAGAACACCGAUGGCGAAGGCACUUUACUGGGCUAUUACUAACACUCAGAGACGAAAGCUAGGGUAGCAAAUGGG
rnacentral:rRNA from 1 species